CUGGUGUGCUGGUGUGGGCGAGGAAGCAGUGAGAGAUGUCUCAUGGGACAACCUCAACAAUUCUGACCUAAAGCUUUUUGGCAGUACCUGCAUGGAUUCCAUCAAACAGGGACAAGGAAACACCCGUAUCCCUCAAUACGAUUACCGAAAACGCGUCUCCUUUGGGAUGUUGACUGAAGGGUCCAUGGAGGUGCAGUCAUUUGUGCACAGCUAGAAAAGCAGCAAGGAGACUACACAACCUUGUGGGGCACCUUUACUGAUGGUCGGGGUUC